rnacentral:rRNA from 1 species
UACAGAGGGUGCGAGCGUUAAUCGGAAUUACUGGGCGUAAAGCGCACGUAGUCGGCUUUGCAAGUCGGGUGUGAAAUCCCCGGGCUCAACCUGGGAACUGCAUCCGAGACUGCAUUGCUAGAGUAUGGGAGAGGGAAGCGGAAUUUCUGGUGUAGCAGUGAAAUGCGUAGAUAUCGCUUGGAACGCCAAAGGUGAAAACAGGUUGCUGGGGUUGUGCCGACGCUGAGACACGAAAGCCAGGGGAGCAAACGGG